AAGAUUUUUUUUUAAAUUAACAUAUUCUUUAUUGAUUUUAUUUGAGAAGGAAUCAUGUACAAUCUUAAAAUAAAUGUUGCUGUUAAAUGCAUUGUACCAGAGUUAGCUUGCAGCUAAUCUGCAUCUACAUUCACUUCAGUGGUUUUCUCCUGACAUACAUAAGUGGGAGGAUUAACAUUUUGCUCUCUGAAAUGUAUCAUCUGCCUCUGCUUUGUGUGGGUUUCAGUGGACUGACUGAGGCCUAUAAAAGAUAACAGCUGAUGUCAUGGUCUGGGACUUUGACACAGUGUUUUGUUUUGAAUCUUGUUAUUUCUUUAUUGUUUAUGUUCCUUGAUUCUUUUCUUAUACCUUGGUUUCCCUGUGUUUGUGAAUUAUUUUAACUGCAUAUUGUUUUCACAGUGUAUUAUACAUGUCAAGAUUAGUUUAAAUGUUUUAGGGUUAUUAGUACCCUUUAGCGUCCCCCUCCUGUCCUCUUACAAUCACCUUUGUAUUUUUGACCCUUAGUAUCAUCCAUGUUAAAUCUGUCAUGUUUUCAUUUUUUUUUUUUACCUUUUGUACGUGUCAAGCCUAAUCAUAAUGUUCUUUGUUGGAUCAUCAUCUAAUUUCCCCCCAGUUUCUCCCAGCACCUCCUAAUGUUUUAUCUAAUUUAGUUCCUGUAAUUUGAAAGUUUUUUCUUUGUAUUCUAUGUUCGGUUUUUCUUUCUGGAUUACAGGCUAAUAAAAAGCUUGCCUUUUGUUAAGAUAAUCCUGUUGCCAUGCAUCGGCAUUUGGGUCCUCUACCUCAACACUCGGUCUGCUCAUACCGCUGACAUUGACAGCUGAGGAGAUGCUGACCUCUUAACUGUUGUACUGGCUAAUGUGGGCCAGAAUGCAAAUGUGCCCCCUUUCUUAAAAUAUCCCCCCUCUCAUUUCUGUUUAUUUAUAGAAAACCCAGUUUGCUUUUUAGCUUAUGUGGGUUUCUUUGUGAGGAUGGAUAACACGGGACUUACACCAGUCCUUCACAAGCUUUGGAAUCAAUUAUUUGUUUGAAAAGUUG
ensembl:lncRNA